rnacentral:lncRNA from 1 species
GGGAGGAGCUAGAAACAUUGAUCCGGAAAGGAGGAAGCUGCGGGAUCACUGGAAAGCAUCACGGGAUGCUGGGAGCUGACUCGGAAUUCCUUCUUUGGACCACGGAAGCGUGGGAGGCAUCACGGGAUGGACGUAGGAGGCUGAAGAGCGCUGCCGGAUACUUGGAUGCGGGAAUGGAAUGAGCUGUAGACGCUGCUGGGAGGAAGAAGAACAGUGAAGUAAAAAAAAUCCCGUAACACUGUUCAUAUGAACAGUGUUUUUACAUAACACUCUUCAUAUGAACAGUGUUUUCACGGAACACUGUUCAUAUGAACAGUAUCAUCUCGGAACACUGUUCAUAUGAACAGUGAUUUCAGCAUGAAUAGUAAUUUCAGGAAUGAAUAUUAUUUUUAGCUAUUCUUCAUGGGAUUGGAGAUUAAAAAGUUCUUUUUCUUUGUGAUGAAGUGAGAGUGGGAAUCUUUAUUUCGGAAGAGUGCGGAUGCUAAUCCGGAAAGAAAGGAACGCGAGGAUCACUGGGAGAUCGCACGCGGGUUCGGAUGUUUGGGUGCAAAUGUGCUUGAUCAGAUCAUGACAGGAUUGGGCCCGUGCGGUUUGGGGCUAUGAUGCAUCCCUCUAAACCCUACCAAAUGCGCAUUUAAACUUUAAUUUAUACUAACCUGUGUCAAACCCAAAUAUAAUAUUAUUUAAGUAAAUUUAUUAUUAUCGGUUAGCAAAAACACUAAUUUUGGUGACAUGUAGUCGCACUUUUGUGCUCUCAUCACACCCCCCAACUAGCUUAUUGCUAGUCUCUAGCAAUUAACAAGCAAACGAUAAAAUGAGGGCACAAAAAGAUGUAGUCUAACUUAUAAUUUUUUCUCUUUUUUUUAAAAAAAAAAUUGAAGCUAAAUACACAAACUAAGAUAUGUACCCAUUUUCGUAGGGAGUCACGAUUGCACUUAGCACGUGCAACAAGCCUUUAAACCCCUAGGUUACCCUAGUG